rnacentral:lncRNA from 1 species
AGAAAUGAAGUUGGAUGAGAUGAAGCAGAGCUUUAUCUCAAGAAAAUUACAUAGCUCCUAUAGGCAAAGACCAUCACAUCUGCCUAGGUAUCCAGCAACAGAAUCAGACCAAGGCAGUGGGAGACUGAGGCCACCUCUCUACCACCAGCAGAGACAGGGUCUUGCUCUUGUUACCCAGGCUGGUCUUGAACUCCUGGGCUCAAAUGAUCCUCCUGCCUUGGCCUCCCAAAGUGCUGGGAUUACAGAUGUGAGCCACUGCAACUGGCCUGGUGUAGGAGUCUUAUUUUUCUGUCAGAGGAGGGCGUUCCCUUGGCUCAGAGCCUUGCUUAGCCUUCCAACAGCAACAUGAAGUUGGCAGCCUUCCUCCUCCUGUGAUCCUCAUCAUCUUCAGCCUAGAGGUACAAGAGCUUCAGGCUGCAGGAGACCGGCUUUUGGGUACCUGCGUCGAGCUCUGCACAGGUGACUGGGACUGCAACCCCGGAGACCACUGUGUCAGCAAUGGGUGUGGCCAUGAGUGUGUUGCAGGAUGAAGAGUUAUCUUAAGGAUCAUCUUUCCCUAAGAUCGUCAUCCCUUCCUGGAGUUCCUAUCUUCCAAGAUGUGACUGUCUGGAGUUCCUUGACUAGGAAGAUGGAUGAAAACAGCAAGCCUGUGGAUGGAGACUACAGGGGAUAUGGGAGGCAGGGAAGAGGGGUUGUUUCUUUUAAUAAAUCAUCAUUGUUAAAAGCACUC